GCCGGGGUGGCGGAAUGGCAGACGCAGGCGACUUAAAAUCGCUCGUGAGAUUUCACGUGCGGGUUCGAAUCCCGCCCCCGGCA
rnacentral:tRNA from 1 species